GACGAACGCUGGCGGCGUGCUUAACACAUGCAAGUCGAACGGAAAGGCCCUGCUUUUGUGGGGUGCUCGAGUGGCGAACGGGUGAGUAACACGUGAGUAACCUGCCCUUGACUUUGGGAUAACUUCAGGAAACUGGGGCUAAUACCGGAUAGGAGCUCCUGCUGCAUGGUGGGGGUUGGAAAGUUUCGGCGGUUGGGGAUGGACUCGCGGCUUAUCAGCUUGUUGGUGGGGUAGUGGCUUACCAAGGCUUUGACGGGUAGCCGGCCUGAGAGGGUGACCGGCCACACUGGGACUGAGAUACGGCCCAGACUCCUACGGGAGGCAGCAGUGGGGAAUAUUGCACAAUGGGCGGAAGCCUGAUGCAGCAACGCCGCGUGCGGGAUGACGGCCUUCGGGUUGUAAACCGCUUUCGCCUGUGACGAAGCGGGAGUGACGGUAAUGGGUAAAGAAGCACCGGCUAACUACGUG
rnacentral:rRNA from 1 species